rnacentral:rRNA from 1 species
GAUGAACGCUGGCGGCGUGCCUAAUACAUGCAAGUCGAGCGAAUGGAUUAAGAGCUUGCUCUUAUGAAGUUAGCGGCGGACGGGUGAGUAACACGUGGGUAACCUGCCCAUAAGACUGGGAUAACUCCGGGAAACCGGGGCUAAUACCGGAUAACAUUUUGAACCGCAUGGUUCGAAAUUGAAAGGCGGCUUCGGCUGUCACUUAUGGAUGGACCCGCGUCGCAUUAGCUAGUUGGUGAGGGAACGGCUCACCAAGGCAACGAUGCGUAGCCGACCAGAGCAGGUGAUCGGCCACACUGGGACUGAGGCACGGCCCAGACUCCGACGGGAGGCAGCAGUAGGGAAUCUUCCGCAAUGGACGAAAGUGUGACGGAGCAACGCCGCGUGAGUGAUGAAGGCUUUCGGGUCGUAAAACUCUGUUGUUAGGGAAGAACAAGGGCUAGUUGAAUAAGCUGGCACCUUGACGGUACCUAACCAGAAAGCCACGGCUAACUACGUGCCAGCCGCCGCGGUAA